rnacentral:lncRNA from 1 species
GGGGUGGAUAAAGAUGUGGUACAUAUACAUAAUAGAAUAUUACUCAGCCAUUAAAAGGAAAGAAAUACCAUCAUUUUUAGCAACAUGGAUGGACCUAGAAACUAUCAUGCUAAGUGCAGUCAGUCAGAUGGUGAGACACCAACAUCAAAUGCUUUCACUGACAUGUGGAAUUUGAAAAAAGGACAGACUAAAAUUUGCAUAACAGAUGCUGACUCACAGACAUUGAAAAACUUAUGGUCUUUGGAGGAGACAGUUUGGGUGGUGGGGGGAUGUGCUUGUGCUGUGGGAUGGAAAUCCAGUGAAUUCAGAUUGUUAUGAUCAUUAUACAACUACAGAUGUGAUAAAUGCAUUUGAGUAAUUACAAAAAAAAAAAAAAAAAGAGUGAACUCCUGAGCACAGUUAUUUAGGUCAAGAGUUGACAGACUGUGACUAGCGGGCAAAGCCCAUCCACAGUCUGUUUUUGUGCUUCUCAAGCUAAUAAUGCAUUUUACAUGUUCAAAGCAUUUUUAAAAAUAAUUUGCAAAGGAGGCCAUAAUUCUUGGCUUUGUUUGCUAUUGUUUUGUUUAAGAUUUUGCAGCUAUGUUUAUCAAUACUAUUGGCCAAUAGUUUUUUCUUUCUAAUGAUGCCCUUGUUGAAACUAGGGUUUUGGAAUCAAGAUUAUGUUGACCUCAUAAAACUAAAUUGGAGAGUUCCCCUUUUUUCUAUUUCCUGGAAAAUUUAUGGAAAAUAACUCUUUGCCACUUAUGUAUUUGGUAGAAUUUGCCAACGUAUUCAUUUUUUGUGUGUUUUCAUGGUGGAAAAUUAUUUAAAUAAGAUGAACUUUUUGUAAUUUAUAGGACUACUAUUAUUUCUGUUUCUUCUUGUCUCAAUUUUGAUAUUUUUCUAGGACUUCGUCAAUUUUACCUAUAUUUUCAAAUUUAUGUGCAUUAAACUAUUCACAAUGUCACCUUAUCAUUUUUGAAAUAUCUACAGGAUCUGUAGAAAAACUCUCUUUUAAAUUCCCAAUAUUGGGGAGUUCCCGUCGUGGCGCAGUGGUUAACGAAUCCAACUAGGAACCAUGAGGUUGCGGGUUCGGUCCCUGCCCUUGCUCAGUGGGUUAACGAUCCGGCGUUGCCGUGAGCUGUGGUGUAGGUUGCAGACGCGGCUCGGAUCCUGUGUUGCUGUGGCUCUGGCGUAGGCUGGUGGCUACAGCUCCAAAGACCCCUAGCCUGGGAACCUCCAUAUGCCGCGGGAGCGGCCCAAGAAAUAGCAACAACAACAACAACAACAAAAAGACAAAAAAAAAUAAAUAAAUAAAUUCCCAAUAUUGGGAGUUCCUGUUGUGGCUCAGUGGUUAACAAAUCUGACUAGGAACCAUGAGGUUGUGGGUUUGAUCCCUGGCCUUGCUCAGUGGGUUAAGUUUCUGGCGUUGCCAUGAGCUGUGGUGUAGGUCACAGAUGUUGCUUGGAUCCCUCAUUGCUGUGGCUCUGGUGCAGGCCGGUGGCUAUUGCUCCAAUUAGACCCCCAGCCUGAGAACCUCCAUAUGCCGCAGGAGCGGACCUAGAAAAGGCAAAAAGACAAAAAAAAAAAAAAAAA